GUCACUACCCCUAUCAUAGAUCACCUGGAAAAUCAUGUCCCAUGGUUAUUACAGCUGCAAUGUGGCCAACACCAACAUACUUCGCUGAUGCAUCAUUGGAAAAAGUGGAAAGUUGUGAAAAUGACUAAAUCGCACCUGUGAUCCUUCAAAUUUGGUCAUUGUUUCAUGUGAAUCCUUUAAAUUUAAAAAUAUAUUAAAAAGUCUUUAAACUUUGAAUUUCUUGCAUCAAAAGUCCUUAUGACCAAAAUCAUGCACCAUGCUGGCAUUUUAUAAAAAAAAAAUUGAAAGCCACGUGAAUGUUCUGUUUUUGGUUUUGUCGUAUUAUGUGGGUAUACAAAGUAGGGUCUUGUUAGUGUUGUGGCAUGUUUACCAUGAUGCGAGAGUGGUUUGCAAUUUUUUUUAAUAAAAUGGCAGCGUGGCAAUGCCACAUCAACCCUUGAACGGAGGUAUGAUCAGAUUUUGGUUAUCAGGACUUUUGAGGCAAGAAAUUCAAAGCUUAAGGACUUUUUAGUAUCAUUUUAAAGUCAAGGGACUGACAUGAAAGUAUGAAACAAAGACCAGAGCUGAAGGACGAAAGGUGCAAUUUAGUCCAGUGAAAAUGCAAUAGUGCAGCAACUUCAGAAAGGAAUUGGAAGUUGUUAGAAGCAACAGUUCAAUGAACUUACAGAAU
rnacentral:misc_RNA from 1 species